rnacentral:rRNA from 1 species
UAGGGAAUCUUCGGCAAUGGACGAAAGUCUGACCGAGCAACGCCGCGUGAGUGAAGAAGGUUUUCGGAUCGUAAAACUCUGUUGUUAGAAGAACAAGGACGUUAGUAACUGAACGUCCCCUGACGGUAUCUAACCAGAAAGCCACGGCUAACUACGUGCCAGCAGCCGCGGUAAUACGUAGGUGGCAAGCGUUGUCCGGAUUUAUUGGGCGUAAAGCGAGCGCAGGCGGUUUCUUAAGUCUGAUGUGAAAGCCCCCGGCUCAACCGGGGAGGGUCAUUGGAAACUGGGAGACUUGAGUGCAGAAGAGGAGAGUGGAAUUCCAUGUGUAGCGGUGAAAUGCGUAGAUAUAUGGAGGAACACCAGUGGCGAAGGCGGCUCUCUGGUCUGUAACUGACGCUGAGGCUCGAAAGCGUGGGGAGCAAACAGG